CCGGCUGCGAGGCCUCCCCGCCGCCCCAGCGCGCUGAGUCACGGCCGGGAGCGGCGGGGUCCCGGCUCGCCCCCUCCUCAGCGAGCACCGCGCCGACACAGAGACGUAAACAACGAUUUUUAUAUUGUUUACAUCACAGCUCUGUAUGGAAAUCACAAAUUGAGAUGUUAGGAAAGGAUGGAAGAACAUUCAUUUGCUUACUAGAGCUGCAGAUUCACAGCUGGGUUCCUGAUGGUGGAAUUCAACAAUAAACGUGGAGCUCUCCACUUAAAACUA